rnacentral:sRNA from 1 species
ACUCUCGGGAGGCUGAGACAGGAGGAUCGCUUGAGUCUCGGAGUGGCCUGCCGCGCACUAAGCCAUUGGUGGCUAUACUAUGUUUGGCAUCAAUACGGUAACCUCCCAGGAGUGGAGGGACCACCAGGUUGCCUAAGGAGGGGUGAACCAGCCCAGGUCGGAAACGGAGCAGGUAAAAUCUCCCAUGCUGAUCAGAAAAUUGAAAUGAAAACUUGGGGUUCAAAGGAAGUAAAUCUCAAAU